GACCACUUCCCUUGGAAGUCGAGGCCAUACGGACAGCCGGGUCCACUGCCGA
rnacentral:sRNA from 1 species